AAUAUAUUUCGGGAAUCGAACCCGGGCCUCCUAGGUGAGAGCCAUGUAUCCUAUCCACUAGACCAGGU
rnacentral:tRNA from 1 species